ensembl:snRNA U6 U6 spliceosomal RNA
UUGCUUACUUCGCUAGCACAUACGCUAAAACUGGAACAAUCCAGAGGUUAGCUUGGCCCCUGCAGCAGGAUGCAUGCAAAUUCAUGAAGGGUUCCAUAUCCAC